GUGCUCGCUUUGGCAGCACAUACACUAAAGUUGGAAUGAUAACAGAGAAGAUUAGUGGGGCCUCUGUGCAAGGAUGACACACAAUUUCAUGAAACAUUCCAUAUAUAU